rnacentral:rRNA from 1 species
GGCGAACGCUGGCGGCGUGCCUAAUACAUGCAAGUAGAACGCUGAAGAGAGGAGCUUGCUCUUCUUGGAUGAGUUGCGAACGGGUGAGUAACGCGUAGGUAACCUGCCUUGUAGCGGGGGAUAACUAUUGGAAACGAUAGCUAAUACCGCAUAACAAUGGAUGACACAUGUCAUUUAUUUGAAAGGGGCAAUUGCUCCACUACAAGAUGGACCUGCGUUGUAUUAGCUAGUAGGUGAGGUAAUGGCUCACCUAGGCGACGAUACAUAGCCGACCUGAGAGGGUGAUCGGCCACACUGGGACUGAGACACGGCCCAGACUCCUACGGGAGGCAGCAGUAGGGAAUCUUCGGCAAUGGGGGCAACCCUGACCGAGCAACGCCGCGUGAGUGAAGAAGGGUUUCGGAUCGUAAAGCUCGGUUGUAAGUCAAGAACGGGUGUGAGAGUGGAAAGUUCACACUGUGACGGUAGCUUACCAGAAAGGGACGGCUAACUACGUG